rnacentral:rRNA from 1 species
CCUACGGGAGGCAGCAGUGGGGAAUAUUGCGCAAUGGGCGAAAGCCUGACGCAGCGACGCCGCGUGAGGGAUGAAGGUCUUCGGAUCGUAAACCUCUGUCAGCAGGGAAGAACGGUCACUGUGCUAAUCAGCAGUGAAUUGACGGUACCUGCAAAGGAAGCACCGGCUAACUCCGUGCCAGCAGCCGCGGUAAUACGGAGGGUGCGAGCGUUAAUCGGAAUUACUGGGCGUAAAGCGCUCGUAGGCGGUAUGUCAAGUCAAGGGUGAAAUCCCCGCGCUCAACGUGGGAACUGCCUUUGAAACUGGAAAACGGGAGUGUGUGAGAGGAUAGUGGAAUUCCAGGUGUAGGAGUGAAAUCCGGAGAUAUCUGGAGGAACAUCAGUGGCGAAGGCGACUAUCUGGCACAUAACUGACGCUGAGGAGCAAAAGCGUGGGUAGCAAACAGGAUUAGAUACCCGGGUAGUC